AUGUGCCCUUCAUGUGAGCGUGUCGCGGGCCCACCGCCAUCCUCAUCUGGGCCCACAUCCACACCAAUGGGCCAGGCCCAACCCAGGCCCAUGCCAUUUAACCUAUGGGCCAAUGCACUACAUCCGAGAUCAUGAUUUUGCAAGAAGGGCGAUUUGGUCAAAUGAAAGUGACAAGACAAACUUGUAAUAGUGUACCAUAAUGUUUUUUGUGUAUGAAAAAUAUGAAUAUUUAUGGUCUAAGAUAU
rnacentral:misc_RNA from 1 species